UACAGAGGGUGCAAGCGUUAAUCGGAUUUACUGGGCGUAAAGCGUGCGUAGGCGGUUCGUUAAGUCGAUUGUGAAAGCCCUGGGCUUAACCUGGGAAUUGCAGUCGAUACUGGCGGACUAGAGAACGGUAGAGGGAGGCGGAACUCCAGGUGUAGCGGUGAAAUGCGUAGAUAUCUGGAAGAACACCGAUGGCGAAGGCAACCUCCUGGGCCUGUUCUGACGCUGAGGCACGAAAGCGUGGGUAGCAAACAGG
rnacentral:rRNA from 2 species